rnacentral:rRNA from 1 species
UGGGGAAUAUUGGACAAUGGGGGCAACCCUGAUCCAGCAAUGCCGCGUGUGUGAAGAAGGCCUUCGGGUUGUAAAGCACUUUCAGUGGGGAGAAAAGACUUACAGCGAAUACCUGUAAGAGUUGAUGUUACCUACAGAAGAAGCACCGGCUAAUUCUGUGCCAGCAGCCGCGGUAAUACAGAAGGUGCAAGCGUUAAUCGGAAUUACUGGGCGUAAAGCGCAUGUAGGCGGGUAUUUAAGUCGAUUGUGAAAGCCCUGGGCUCAACCUAGGAACUGCAGUCGAUACUGGAUACCUAGAGUAUGGUAGAGGACAGUGGAAUUCCCGGUGUAGCGGUGAAAUGCAUAGAUAUCGGGAGGAACACCAGUGGCGAAGGCGACUGUCUGGAUUAAUACUGACGCUGAGAUGCGAAAGCGUGGGGAGCAAACAG